rnacentral:snRNA from 1 species
GUGCCCGCUUCGGCAGCACAUACACUAAAAUUGGAACGAUACAGAGAUUAGCAUGGCCCCUGUACAAGGAUGAUACGCAAAUUCGUGACGCGUUCCGUUUUUUCUUU